rnacentral:tRNA from 1 species
GGCAGAUUGAGAUCAUGGGUAACCUAGAUCCUAGAUAAAUGAUAGGUGUAGAAACAGAAUCCGGCUUACAAUUUUACUUUUUUGGA